GACAGAGGGUGCAAACGUUGUUCGGAAUUACUGGGCGUAAAGCGCGUGUAGGCGGCCAUCUAAGUCGGGCGUGAAAUCCCACGGCUCAACCGUGGAAGUGCACUCGAAACUGGAUGGCUAGAGUCCUGGAGAGGAAGGUGGAAUGCUUGGUGUAGAGGUGAAAUUCGUAGAUAUCAGGAGGAACACCGAUGGCGAAGGCAGGUCUCUGGGCUGACACUGACGCUCAUGCACGAAAGCGUGGGGAGCAAACAGG
rnacentral:rRNA from 1 species